rnacentral:rRNA from 1 species
AUUGAACGCUGGCGGCAGGCCUAACACAUGCAAGUCGAACGGCAGCGGGGGGUAGCUUGCUACUCUGCCGGCGAGUGGCGGACGGGUGAGUAAUGCCUGGGGAGCUGCCCAAUCGAGGGGGAUACCAGUUGGAAACGACUGCUAAUACCGCAUACGCCCUGAGGGGGAAAGGUGGGGAUCUUCGGACCUACCGCGAUUGGAUGCACCCAGGUGGGAUUAGCUAGUUGGUGAGGUAACGGCUCACCAAGGCGACGAUCUCUAGCUGGUCUGAGGAGAUGAGCAGCCACACUGGAACUGAGACACGGUCCAGACUCCUACGGGAGGCAGCAGUGGGGAAUAUUGCACAAUGGGGGAAACCCUGAUGCAGCCAUGCCGCGUGUGUGAAGAAGGCCUUCGGGUUGUAAAGCACUUUCAGCGAGGAGGAAAGGGGUGAUGCUAAUACCAUUAUCCUGUGACGUUACUCGCAGAAGAAGCACCGGCUAACUCCGUGCCAGCAGCCGCGGUAAUAC